rnacentral:rRNA from 1 species
AUUGAACGCUGGCGGCAGGCUUAACACAUGCAAGUCGAGCGGAGAUGAGGUGCUUGCACCUUAUCUUAGCGGCGGACGGGUGAGUAAUGCUUAGGAAUCUGCCAUUUAGUGGGGGACAACAUUCCGAAAGGAACGCUAAUACCGCAUACGUCCUACGGGAGAAAGCAGGGGAUCUUCGGACCUUGCGCUAAAUGAUGAGCCUAAGUCGGAUUAGCUAGUUGGUGGGGUAAAGGCCUACCAAGGCGACGAUCUGUAGCGGGUCUGAGAGGAUGAUCCGCCACACUGGGACUGAGACACGGCCCAGACUCCUACGGGAGGCAGCAGUGGGGAAUAUUGGACAAUGGGCGGAAGCCUGAUCCAGCCAUGCCGCGUGUGUGAAGAAGGCCUUUUGGUUGUAAAGCACUUUAAGCGAGGAGGAGGCUACUGAGACUAAUACUCUUGGAUAGUGGACGUUACUCGCAGAAUAAGCACCGGCUAACUCUGUGCCAGCAGCCGCAGUAAUAC